AACGAACGCUGGCGGCAUGCCUAACACAUGCAAGUCGAACGAGACCUUCGGGUCUAGUGGCGCACGGGUGCGUAACGCGUGGGAACCUGCCCUUAGGUUCGGAAUAACUCCCCGAAAGGGGUGCUAAUACCGGAUAAUGUCUUCGGACCAAAGAUUUAUCGCCUUUGGAUGGGCCCGCGUUGGAUUAGCUAGUUGGUAGGGCAAAAGCCUACCAAGGCGACGAUCCAUAGCUGGUCUGAGAGGAUGAUCAGCCACACUGGGACUGAGACACGGCCCAGACUCCUACGGGAGGCAGCAGUGGGGAAUAUUGGACAAUGGGCGAAAGCCUGAUCCAGCAAUGCCGCGUGAGUGAUGAAGGCCUUAGGGUUGUAAAGCUCUUUUACCCGGGAUGAUAAUGACAGUACCGGGAGAAUAAGCUCCGGCUAACUCCGU
rnacentral:rRNA from 1 species